UACGUAGGGGGCAAGCGUUAUCCGGAUUUACUGGGUGUAAAGGGAGCGUAGGCGGCGGAGCAAGUCAGAAGUGAAAGCCCGGGGCUCAACCCCGGGACGGCUUUUGAAACUGCCCUGCUUGAUUUCAGGAGAGGUAAGCGGAAUUCCUAGUGUAGCGGUGAAAUGCGUAGAUAUUAGGAGGAACACCAGUGGCGAAGGCAGCUUACUGGACUGACAAUGACGCUGAGGCUCGAAAGCGUGGGGAGCAAACAGG
rnacentral:rRNA from 1 species